rnacentral:rRNA from 1 species
AUCUGGCUCAGAACGAACGCUGGCGGCGUGCUUAACACAUGCAAGUCGAAACGCGAAAGGGACUUCGGUCCUGAGUAAAGUGGCGCACGGGUGAGUAACGCGUAGAUAACCUGUCUUCAUGUCUGGAAUAAUACGCCGAAAGGGGUACUAAUACCGGAUAUUCUUGCUUUUCAUAAGUUAUGCAAGCAAAGGUGGCCUCUGCAUAUGCUACUGCAUGAAGAGGGGUCUGCGUACCAUUAGCUAGUAGGUGGGGUAAUGGCCUACCUAGGCGACGAUGGUUAGCGGGUCUGAGAGGAUGAUCCGCCACACUGGCACUGGAACACGGGCCAGACUCCUACGGGAGGCAGCAGUGAGGAAUAUUGCGCAAUGGGGGAAACCCUGACGCAGCGACGCCGCGUUGAGUGAGGAAGGCCUUCGGGUCGUAAAGCUCUGUCAAGAGGAAAGAAGUGUACAAUGGCUAAUACCUGUUGUAUUUGACGGUACCUCUAAAGGAAGCACCGGCUAACUCCGUGCCAGCCGCGGC